rnacentral:rRNA from 1 species
GUAGGUGGCAAGCGUUGUCCGGAAUUAUUGGGGCGUAAAGCGCGCGCAGGGCGGUCCUUUAAGUCUGAUGUGAAAGCCCACGGCUCAACCGUGGAGGGUCAUUGGAAACUGGGGGACUUGAGUACAGAAGAGGAAAGCGGAAUUCCAAGUGUAGCGGUGAAAUGCGUAGAGAUUUGGAGGAACACCAGUGGCGAAGGCGGCUUUCUGGUCUGUAACUGACGCUGAGGCGCGAAAGCGUGGGGAGCAAACAGGAUUAGGUACCCUGGUAGUCCACGCUGUAAACGAUGAGUGCUAAGUGUUAGGGGGUUUCCGCCCCUUAGUGCUGCAGCUAACGCAUUAAGCACUCCGCCUGGGGAGUACGGCCGCAAGGCUG